UACAGAGGUCUCAAGCGUUGUUCGGAUUCAUUGGGCGUAAAGCGCACGUAGGCGGUUCGUUAAGUCAGAUGUGAAAGCCCUCGGCUCAACCGAGGAAGUGCAUCUGAAACUGGCGAGCUAGAGUACUAAAGAGGGUCGCGGAAUUCCCGGUGUAGAGGUGAAAUUCGUAGAUAUCGGGAGGAACACCGGUGGCGAAGGCGGCGACCUGGGUAGAUACUGACGCUGAGGUGCGAAAGCGUGGGGAGCAAACAGG
rnacentral:rRNA from 1 species